UUUCUUUUCAGUUGAAGGAGCUUCUCUGUCAGUGAAAAGAAAGUCCCUGCUCUGCUGAUUGUCUGAUUGAGCAGAGAGCUGGGAGCAGCAGGGGCUGGGAGUUUGAAUGUCCUGGCACAUCUGGGCUCCAGCGCACUGCCAAAAGCUUAGCUCUGUCCUUGCACAAGACUGGGGGACACUGUCAGAAAGCUAAAGGCAGAUGGAGGAGUGAAGAUCCUGCCAAGAUCCCCGGGAUGUUUUUAGUUUUAAGUUCUAUUUUAGGGAAGAACCAAGAGUCCCUCUGAGGUCAGUUGCAGUCAACUUUGUCCCCCAACCUCGCUCACUUGUCCUGUUAAGCAAGUAGGCACAACGUCAUCUCAUCAUCUGCGUAGCAGAAAGAAAGCAGAGUGGGAAGUCUGCCUUGUACUCAGUCCCCAGAACUGAGAAGUAAGAUUCAGAUAUCUCUCCGCACCUCAGCCAAUUUGCUCUCUUCUCUCCCCUGGAAGGCCAAAUUCCUUUUACAAACCAUGAAAGGUAAUUUACUGGAUGGCAGCUGGCAGAGCCUAGGCUUCCUGAGCUUGCCCCCUCUCUCUGUGGGCUGCUCAGCUCAGGGAGUGAGGGAAUAUUUUCACCGUCCAGGGGCAGAAUGUCCACUUCUGGGA